UACAGAGGCCUCAAGCGUUGUUCGGAAUUACUGGGCGUAAAGGGAAUGUAGGUGGUUGUGUAAGUCAGAUGUGAAAGCCCUGGGCUCAACCCGGGAAAUGCAUUUGAUACUGCACAGCUUGAGUGCGAGAGAGGAAAGCGGAAUUCCAGGUGUAGGGGUGAAAUCCGUAGAUAUCUGGAGGAAUACCGAUGGCGAAGGCAGCUUUCUGGCUCGUAACUGACACUGAGAUUCGAAAGCGUGGGUAGCAAACAGG
rnacentral:rRNA from 1 species